GAUGAAGAACGUAGCGAAAUGCGAUACGUAAUGUGAAUUGCAGAAUUCAGUGAAUCAUCGAGUCUUUGAACGCACAUUGCGCCCCCUGGUAUUCCGGGGGGCAUGCCUGUCCGAGCGUCAUUGCUGCCCUCAAGCACGGCUUGUGUGUUGGGCCUCCGUCCUCCUCCCGGGGGACGGGCCCGAAAGGCAGCGGCGGCACCGCGUCCGGUCCUCGAGGGUAUGGGGCUUCGUCACCCGCUCUUGUAGGCCCGGCCGGCGCUUGCCGACACAUCAAUCUUUUUUCCAGGUUGACCUCGGAUCAGGUAGGGAUACCCGCUGAACUUAAGCAUAUCAAUAAGCGGAGGA
rnacentral:misc_RNA from 1 species